AAGCCGGGCACUCUGGAAGGACUGCCAUCGACAAGAUGGAGGAAGGUGGGGACGGACGGUCGAAGUCAUCAUGGCCCUUAUGUCCAGGGCGACACACGUGCUACAAUGGCCGGCACAACGGGAAGCGAGUUCGCGAGGACGAGCGGAUCCCUUAAAGCCGGUCGACAGUUCGGAUUGAAGUCUGCAACUCGACUUCAUGAAGCUGGAAUCGCUAGUAAUCGCAGAUCAGCCAAGCUGCGGUGAAUACGUUCCCGGGCCUU
rnacentral:rRNA from 1 species